AUGGCGGAGACGGUGGUGAGCAUGGCGAGGUCCAUGGUGAGGGGCGCCAUCAGUGUGGCCGCCUCUGCGGCGGCCGCCGAGGUGGGCCUCCUCCUCGGCGUCCAAAAGGAUAUCUGGUUCAUCAAAGACGAGCUCGAGACGAUGCAGGCAUUCCUUGAGGUCGCUGAAGCAAUAAAGAAGAAAGAUGUGCUCUUGAAGGUGUGGGCAAAACAAGUAAGGGAUCUGUCCUACAAUAUUGAAGAUUGCCUCAGUGAGUUCAUGGUGCAUGUGGGAAGUCAAAGCUUCUUACGUCGGCUCAUGAAGCUCAAUGAUCGUCACCGGAUCGCCAUACGGAUCCGUGAUCUGAAAGCAAGAGUUGAAGAAGUAAGCAUCAGAAACACACGCUACAAUUUGAUCAAGACCGAGGCCUCAAACACCAAUUGUGAGGUGGAUUCUUACAUGGAAGAUGUUCGCAAUCUCUCGGCUAGCAACAUCGAUGAAGCAGAUCUUGUAGGCUUUUCUGAGCCUAGGGGGGAGAUGAUUAAGUUGAUGGAUUUCAAGACUCAAGAUGAUAGUGCCAAGGUGGCAUUUGUUGUUGGCAUGGGUGGUUUAGGAAAGACUACUCUUGCAAGGAAGACAUUUGAAAGUAAGGAAGAUAUUAUGAAUAGUUUUUCUUGUCGUGCUUGGAUUACAGUCUCACAGACAUUUUCCAAGAUAGAGAUGCUGAAGGAUAUGAUCACACAACUUUUCGGAAAUGAAGAACUGAAGAAGCGGCUGAAGGAACUUGAGGGAAAGACGGUGCAAGUAGAUGAUCUCGCCGGCUACCUCAGGAAAAUGCUACAGGAGAAGAGGUACUUUAUUGUUCUUGAUGACUUGUGGUCCAUUGAUGCAUGGAGGUGGAUCAAAGAAAUUAGUUUUCCCAGUGGUAACAUGAAAGGUAGUCGGAUAAUAGUAACAACAAGAGAUAUUGCCCUAGCCCAGGAGUAUACUUCUGAAUCAGUUAUUUACCACCUUAAACACCUACAGGUAGAUGAAGCCACAAAUUUGCUACUCAAAAAGAUUGGGAAAACACACAAAGAAAUAGAGACUGAUGAAAGGAUGCGGAAUGUGAUUUUCAAAAUAGUAAAUAAGUGUGGUGGUUUACCAUUGGCUAUACUCACCAUAGGAGGCUUGCUUGCUACCAAAGUGGUAGAAAUGUGGGAGGGUAUUUAUGAGCAAAUUCCCUUAGAGCUUGGGACUAACCCAAGUCUUGAAGCAAUGAGGAGGAUGGUUACUUUGAGUUACAACCACUUGCCAUCUCAUCUUAAAUCAUGCUUUCUAUACUUAAGCAUCUUUCCUGAGGAUUUUGAAAUCAAGAGAAAUCGUUUGGUCGAUAGAUGGAUAGCAGAGGGGUUUAUUAGAGCUAGUGGUGGAAUGAAUGUUGAGGAUGUUGGAAUACGUUAUUUCGCUGAACUAAUCAACCGAAAUAUGAUUCUACCAUCAAAAGUGAACAUUGAAGGAAUUGUUAAGAGUUGUCGGGUGCAUGAUAUCAUGCGGGAUGUCAUGGUCUCGAUUUCUAGAGAAGAAACCUUUGUGUUCCUGGCAGGCGAUGGUAAAGUUGUUGAAGUAGAGGGGAACUUCCGCCAUGUAGCAUACCAUGGCAGCAAGUACCAAAAUAUUGCCAUGGAUUGGAGCCAUGUUCGGUCAUUAACAAUAUUUAGUGAGAUACCCAUGGAGCCCUCAUUUUCAUUUUGUUCAAUCAAAAUGAGGAUGCUUAGAGCCUUGGAUCUAGAGGAUGCACAGUUUAUAAUAAGACAAAAAGAUAUCACCAAAAUUGGGUUAUUCUGCCAUUUGAAAUAUGUGAGAUUUCCAAGAGAUUCAUAUAUAUAUGCACUUCCGAAGUCUAUACAGAGAUUAAAAGGAUUGCAGAACCUGGAGAUCAGAAACAGUCAUAUUACAGCACUACCAACUGAGAUCAGUGAACUCCAUAGUCUCCGCAGCCUUCGUUGUAGCAGACAGGAUUCGUAUGAUCAUUUUGAUAUAGAACACCCCAUGCGAUGUUUGAGGAACACAUUGCACCUGCCCAUGCUAUGCACACCAUUAGUUGAUCAUGAUUAUCGGCUUGAAGUAACUGCUGAGCUACAUAAGGCAUACUCUAGCCGUUUGGCCAAGACAGAAGGUGUGAGGGUUCCAAGAGGGAUCGAUAAACUGACGGAGCUACAUACACUAGAGGUGGUGGACAUCAAACAAACUGGCAAGAAAGCAGUAAAAGAGCUGGCUGAGCUUAUUCAACUUAGAAAACUAAGCGUCGUAACAGGAAGGUUUGCCGAGCAAAAACGCAAGAUAUUAUAUCUCUGUGCCGCCAUUGAGAAGCUCUCUUCCUUGUGCUCUCUUAGUGUACAUGCUCGCUAUGAUGGAACACUUGAGUGGUUGCAUAAGGUUUCGUCCCCUCCUCCCCUGCUAAAGACCUUGAAAUUGUACGGAGAUCUUGAAGAGAUGCCUGAGUGGGUUGGAAGUCUGAAGCAUCUGGUGAGGGUUUACUUUGGGGGCAGCUGCAUAAAUGAAGAUAAAAUCAUGGAAAUGCUAGGGAAGCUGCCCAAUCUCAUGGUGCUUAAUCUUAGAGGGAAGGCUCGUGAUGAGAAGAAGUUGGUAUUUAGAGCGAAAUCAUUUCAAAAUCUGAAGAAACUCUGGAUUUCAUUUACGAGUGAACUGAGGGAGGUGAGAUUCCAGAAGGGAGCAUUGCCCCAGAUGCAAAAUCUAGAAUUCUCUGCAGUCAAUUUGGAAUCAGGGAUUAUUGGUAUCAAGCACCUCCCACUGCUCAAGCAGAUUUCACUUGGUUACGAUGGCAGAGUGGCGAGACUUGGUAUGCUACAAGCUGAAGUGGACACACAUCCCAACCAUCCUCUGCUGCAACUCGAACAAGACCACAGCGAGCAUGACUUGGGGGAUGUCGUCCAAGGACCUGAUGUUGCAGAAAUAGAGGAGGAAGAGGAACCAUCCCUCCUCCUGGAGACUUGCACGGUGGGGGAGAGCUCACAAUCAGAAGUGGCGGCAAUGCCGACGACGAACAUCAUCGGCCAUGAUGAUCUGCUCUACACUUACAAUUCAUGCUGA
rnacentral:rRNA from 1 species